rnacentral:rRNA from 1 species
UACGUAGGUGACAAGCGUUUGUCCGGAUUUACUGGGCGUAAAGAGCGCGCAGGCGGUCGUUCAAGUCGAGUGUGAAAGCCCCCCGGCUCAACUGGGGGAGGGGUCAUUCGAUACUGAUCGACUCGAAGGCAGGAGAGGGUAGUGGAAUUCCCGGUGUAGUGGUGAAAUGCGUAGAUAUCGGGAGGAACACCAGUGGCGAAGGCGACUACCUGGACCAGCACUGACACUGAGGCACGAAAGCGUGGGGGAGCAAACAGG